AUUGAACGCUGGCGGCAGGCCUAACACAUGCAAGUCGAACGAGUGGCGGACGGGUGAGUAAUUCCUGGGAAUCUAGCUUAUGGAGGGGGCUAACUACGGUAAACUGUAGCUAAUACCGCGUACCAUCGGAUGUGCCCAAGUGGGAUUAGGUAGUUGGUGUGGUAAAGGCUCACCAAGCCGACGAUCCCUAGCUGGUCUGAGAGGAUGACCAGCCACACUGGGACUGAGACACGGCCCAGACUCCUACGGGAGGCAGCAGUGGGGAAUAUUGCGCAAUGGGGGAAACCUGACGCAGCCAUGCCGCGUGAAUGAAGAAGGCCUUCGGGUUGUAAAGUUCUUUCGGUAGCGAGGCGUUAACUACAGAAGAAGCACCGGCUAACUCCGUGCCAGCAGCCGCGGUAAUUC
rnacentral:rRNA from 1 species